UUAUGAAAAGCGAGAAGUUUGCAUACGAUUUCGGCUCGUAUAUUGAAGGUGUAUAAGAAUCCUUCUUCAUAUU
rnacentral:tRNA from 1 species